GAAGCAGCAUGGCUGGCCCUGGAGAAGGAAGCAGAGAGAACCUGCCGGAGGCCUGAGGAGGACAAGCCCGAUCGGGGACAGCCCAGGACAGGAGCCAGGAGAAGUCCUGUGCCGGGGGGAAUCACCCGAGGAGGACAGGCCGGAACUGGACCCAGUAUCACGGCUGCCCGGAGCUGCCUGGGGCUCUGCAGCUGAUAAUGAAGAUCAUGUCGUCACCCAGCCCUUUACAAAUAAGCUAGUUAUAUUAUUUGCUCGAUGACUUCCUGCAGGGGUGAAUUCCAGAGGGCACGUAUACAAUGGACCAGGUAGAGAACUGCAAGGAGUCAGCCUCUCCAUGUGAUCUCUCCUGGAAGAAGUAGGCAAGUAAUCGAGUGGAUACACUAAGAAGUGCAAAAGAGAAGCCUGGUUGCAGUAUUGUUGGUCCCGGGUUGGUCCCAGGAUAUUAGAGAAACAAGGUAAGACAUUACAUCACCUACCUUGUCUGUCUCAUAUUUUUCCUGGUUUGAUUUGUUGUUUUUAUUUAUACAGAGUCUGAUUUUCAAAGGCACCUGGGCACCCACAAUUCUUCAGUCAGACCUGUGAGUGCUUAGCAGUCCUGAAGUUCAGGCCACUUUCACUUAGGUACCUAACUUCAGUGACCCAUGCUUGAAAGUUUGGCCUAGUUCUUCGUGACUGAGCAAGACAUUCCAGGGCACUUCAGUCUUGAGGCCUAAAAGGAA